AUGGGUUUGCCUUUACCUGGAGCUAUAAGACGGGCAUCAUUUAGCAAAAGCCAAACAUCAUCAAAAGUGACAAACGUGCCAAAGGGAUGUCUUGCGGUGUACGUUGGUGAGGAAAUGAAGCGGUUUGUGAUUCCGACAUCAUACUUGAACCAACCUUCAUUUCAAAACUUGUUGAGUCAAGUAGAGGAAGAAUUCGGAUAUGAUCAUCGAAUGGGCGGCCUCACAAUUCCUUGCAUGGAAGAUGUUUUCUUGCAUCUAACUUGUGGCUUCAAUGGUCUAUAA